UUACGCUGUUAUCCCUAAGGUAAUUUAGUCUUAUAAUCACUAAUAAUGGAUCAAAACUAUACAAAUAUGUAAUUAUUAAUUAAAAAGAGUUUUAUUUAUCUCAUUAUCACCCCAAUCAAAUAACUACUAAUAUUAAUAUAAUUAAAUACAAAAUAAUACUAAUAAAUAUUAAACUCUAUAGGGUCUUCUCGUCCCAUAAAAAUAUUUAAGCUUUUUUACUUAAAAAUUAAAUUAUAUAAAAUAACUUAAAGACAGCUUUUAUCUCGUCAAACCAUUCAUUCCAGUCCUCAAUUAAAAGACUAAUGAUUAUGCUACCUUUGCACGGUCAAAAUACCGCGGCCAUUUAAAAUUCAUUGGGCAGGUUAUACUUCUUAUACUAUACAAGAAAAGAUGUUUUUGUUAAACAGGCG
rnacentral:rRNA from 1 species